AAUAAAAAUAAAAAAAUCCACCACUAAGAACAGUCUUUCCCCUUUGUUUUCAUCAACGCUACCACCAAUCGCCCCCCAAAAAACCCCAAUUUCUAGCCCACAGGCAAAUUAGGGUUUUACGAUGACAGAUCGAAACAACACCGCCAUCACUGCCGCCGCUACCUCAACCACCAACCACUCAGGUACUAAACCAAUAUGGAUGAAGCAAGCAGAGGAAGCAAAACUAAAAAGCGAGGCAGAAAAAACCGCAGCAGCGAAAGCUGCAUUCGACGCGACCUUCAAAGUAUUAUCAGACAAGGCUGAGAAGCCCGCGGAUUCAGAUUCCGAGGAGGAAGAUGCAGAGGAGGAUUUGGCCAAUAAACCAGUGGGACCAGUUGACCCCAAUAAGUGCACGGCGGCAGGUGGUGGCAUUGCCGGUGGGACCGCGUGUGCACCGGCCACGUUUAUGGUUGUUACCAAGGAUGCGGAUGGGAGGAAAGUUCCAAAUGGAGGCGCGGUGAUUAAGGUUAGGGUUUCACCGGGAGUGGGAGUUGGGGGAACGGAGCAAGAAGGGAUUGUGAAGGAUAUGGGAGAUGGGACAUACACGAUUACAUAUGUGGUGCCCAAAAGAGGGAAUUAUAUGGUUACUAUUGAGUGUAAUGGGAAAGCUAUUAUGGGGAGUCCUUUCCCUGUUUUCUUUAGUGCAGGCACUUCGACUGGAGGGUUGCUGGGUGUGGCUCCUACAACAACAUUUCCAAACCUUGUGAACCAGACCAUGCCUAACAUGCCAAAUUACUCGGCCAACAUUUCUGGGGCAUUCCCUGCAUUACUAGGAAUGACUCCAGGCAUUACUUCCAGUGCUUCAGGUGGUGCUAUUUUGCCUGGAGCUGGAGCAUCUCUUGGGGAAGUUUGUCGAGAGUACCUUUAUGGUCGGUGUGCAAAAACCGAUUGCAAGCUGAGUCACCCUCCACAGAGCUUACUGAUGACUUUGUUAGCCCCGACAACCUCAAUGGGGACUCUUAGUCAGGUGCCUAUGGCACCUUCUGCAGCUGCAAUGGCUGCUGCUCAGGCUAUUGUUGCUGCCAAAGCUCUUCAAGCUCAUGCUGCUCAGUUGCAAGCGCAAGCUCAGUCAGCCAAAGAUUCAUCUGGAUCACCUGACAAAGCUCGGAAGGAGGAUGCACUGCAGAAAACACUCCACGUUAGCAAUCUCAGCCCGCCUCUGACAGUGGAACAGCUGAAACAACUGUUUAGCUUUUGUGGCACAGUUGUUGAAUGUACCAUUGCUGAUUCAAAACACUCUGCUUACAUAGAAUACUCGAAACCUGAAGAAGCAACUGCUGCUUUAGCAUUGAACAACAUGGAUGUUGGGGGUCGGCCUUUGAAUGUUGAGACGGCUAAAUCUCUUCCUCAGAAACCUAUUUUGAACUCUUCCUUUGCUUCAUCUUCUCUGCCAAUGAUGAUGCAGCAAGCAGUUGCCAUGCAACAGAUGCAAUUUCAACAGGCUUUGCUUAUGCAGCAAACUAUGACUGCACAGCAGGCAGCUAACAAAGCUGCAACAAUGAAGUCGGCAACAGAGUUAGCAGCAGCUAGAGCUGCAGAAAUAAGUAAGAAGUUAAAAGAUGAUGGGCUUGUCACUGGAGAAGGGGAAACAAAAGCAGAAUCCAAGUCACCAUCCCCGCCUCGAGCAAGGUCCAGAUCCAAGUCGAGAUCACCAAUUAAUUACCGAAGAAGAAUGAGGUCACCUUCUUACUCGCCCCCAUCCCGCCACAGUAGAGACCGUAGAUCGAGGUCCCCUGUGAGAAUUCGCUAUCACUCAAGGUAUAAUUACGAAAGACGAUCAUAUAGAGAUAGAGAUAGUAGAGAUGAUGGUGAUAGAACUAGAAGGCGGGAAUUGGAUAGAUCCCGUGAUCAUCAUUCACCUGUUUCAAGGAGAAAUAGGAGCAGGAGUGCAAGCCCUCGAACAAGAAAAUCCUACAGAGCUGAUUCAGGCUCACCAAAACAUCGCCAAGAAAGUUCAGCUCAUAGAUCAAGAAAAGCAUCAGACAGUGGUUCAAGAUCACCUAGGCAUCAUGGAGGAAGUCGAUCAUCCCCAAGGAACAACCCAGAUAGCAAGCUCAGGUACAGAAGGCGCUCACGCUCUAGGUCCAAAUCAGUGGAAGAGGCCAAUGACAAAGUGUAUGAAAUCCGAGAAAAAAAGUCAAAGCAGCAUGAGAGGAGGUCUAGGUCAUUAUCUGUGGAGCUUAAACACCAUGGAAGGAGGCCAUCCCCUAGAAGUUCAAAUGAAGAUGACUCAAAGCACAGAAGUCGGUCCAGGUCAAAAUCUGUGGAAGGUAAACGCCAUUCCAAUGAGAAAGUAGACAAAACUGGGGAUGGGAGGCUGAAGCACCAUCAUAGGAGGUCCAGGUCAAAAUCUGUUGAUGAUAGGCAUCAUUACAAAGAGAGGGGAAAUGAAACCAGGGAUAAAAAAAGAAAGCAUCAAGAUAGAGGGCGGUCUAGAUCAAUAACUGCAGAGGGAAAGCAUCACAGAAGUAGGUCAUCCCCAAGAGGUAGGGAUGGGAGCAAGUCAAAGCACAGACGGCACUCUAGGUCAAUAUCUCCAGAAGGCAAGCGGCGGUCUAGUCACAGGUUAGAUCAAAAUAAAGAUGAAAAGUCUAAGCACCGCCAUAGACGAAGGUCACCAUCCGCUGAAGGUAAACACGGCAGAUCUCCAAGAAGUUCAGAGGAAAAUAAAUCAAAACAUAGGAGGCGCCCUAGGUCAAAAUCUGCCGAAUGCAAACGUCAUUCAAAUGAUGAAAAGGAUAUUAGAAGAGGGGAAAAUGAGACUCAUCAUGAGCAUGGAUCAGACAAAACAGAAGAUGCCAAUGAGGAAAAAGAAUAUUUUAUGAAUGAAGAAGUGGUGGAUUUAAAACAUAAAGGUUGUGAUUCAAAGGAACUGGUGGAAGACAUGGUAACGGGGGGCAAUGGUUUGCCAAAUUCAAGCAAUGAAGAACCUUAGUUACUGAAAGUUGAACAUCCAAAACUGAACUCAAAUGAAUUUGAAGAGCGUAAGAGAACUGAAGUUAAUGUUUGAGGACAGCAUAUAAUGCUUGGAAGAGAAGCUGUUUUUCAUGGAAGGCUCUUUUUUAUGUUUUGUUUUGCUGUGCACCUAUUUGAGAAGCUUGCAGAGAUGCAUGAACUUAAUUCCAGCAGAAUCAGCCUUUGCUCGCAUGAAGGGCGAUUCUUACAGAAGAUUUCUUGAUGUUCUUUGGUUGUAUUUUUCUGCCAGCUUUGGCUCCUCAUAAAUAUGCACACUUGUGUGUUUGUUUAUCUUUUGCAGGUUCACUUGUAACAAAUUGGAACUAGAGUCUUUAAGGCUGAGCUGACCAUGAUAGGGAUUGUAUGUUUCAAAUGGUGUUCUGCUGUCAUCCGGGUCAACCAUUCAAUCUUUCUAGCAAAGCUUCUAUUACUGCUAGAUGUUAUACAUGAUGUUUCCAUUGGAGCUGCCGACAUCAAUGAAAGGAUUGUUGAUAUUUACUGAUGUAAUGAAGGUAUGCUGUCAGUAGAGUGGGACGGCUAUCUGUUGAGAUUUCCACCAGUCAUGGAAUUUUUAGACUUUUAAUAAAUUCAAUUGGCUGGAUGUGUCUGUAGUCGAUACUUGUGUAACUUGGGCCAACAUGUUUUAAAACCCAGUGUCUUAUUCCUUUCCCAUCUUUUUCUCUUGUUUUUUCCUUUUCCUUUCUUUUCUCCUUCCAAAGGUGUCUGUGUUAGCGAAGCUACUUUUGAGGUCAAGUGAAACCAGAGUCGCUGGGAUGAAUAACAUUACAGUUGCACAAUGUUGUACAUGAGCAGACUGGGUGACUAAAUUUUUCAGUGAAAUGCAGAUUUUUUUUUUCCACAGGUAAUUUCUAUUCAACUGUUAGGAUGAGUUCUGUUUCAUGAUAAAGCUUCACUAAUGCUUGUGUCUUCCACGCAGAUGAUUCUAAAUAUUGACACUGCUUUCUCUAGUGAUUGAAAACAGGAACUUUAUGUUUGACCAAAUGAUUUAACUUUAUUUUGAAAUUAUAAAUGUGCUUAGAGGUGCUCUCUCUCUUGCGUCCUUCUGUUCUUCAGAUCCACUUUUAUACGAUUGCUCUGUUUCAAGUGGCUAGUUUCGGCAGAGGUGUUUAGGGCCUGCCCUGUACUGUAAGUGUCAUUUAGUUGUAAAUAUUUGAGCUUCAAACCAGUUUUCUUGAAUUUUGACCUUGAUUAUUAAUUUACCAGAUAGACUGUGUACAUCAAAAUGCAGACUAAUUCACAAGUUUCCAUUUCUUUUU